UCGGUGACCAGGAGAGUGGCCGUGUGGAGAAGCAGGGCAGGAAUGUGACCACCCAGCCAGGCGGGGGGCUGCUGGCGUGGAGGCAGCUGCCUGCAGCCUGGCCCAGCUGCGUUUUCUCCUCUUUCACCCUGGUGAGAACUAUUCUUCCUUGGCUUCUGCCUGGGGACCCUAUAGGUGCUGAAAAUGGAAUGCAGCUGGCAGGUAGUCGAGGGACAGUGAAAAUGCGGACCCUCUGCAAAGGCAGUGCCCUGAUAUUGAGGAAAAAAAAAAAAAAAGAGCUUUAUUGCUUCUUGUCAGGCUAUACUAUGUUAUAGGAAGAGUUGGGUUCCCCCAGAGAGAAAGUGCAGAGGGUGCUGGGAGCAGGAUCCUCAGUUUGUAAGAACACACUCACUGCUCUCAGGGAGCCGACAAAAUCUUUAAAAAGGGUAAUUGAAGGUUCGACGUUUGACAUGUAAAAUCAAGUCGCAGCUUGGGUUUUCCAGAAGCAGUCCCUGAGACAAAGAUUUUAGCAUAAACAGUUUAUUUGGGAGGCUAUCCUGGGAAACACCAGAAGGGAAGUAGGAAAUUGAAAUGUCGAAGGAAGCCAAUCAAAUAUGCAUUAUUGAGCAGAUGGCCCCUGUGACCAACUAGGCUCAGUAUCUCUGGGGAACCCCCAGAGAGAGUGUAGAGCAAAUUCCAGAAUUAUGCCAUCCAAGGGGAAAGGGAGCUGAGUCAUUCAUCUCUCAGCUGUUGCAAGCUAUUGGUGGAGGGAUUUUCCCAAGAGGCAUUACCUCCCAGGCUUGUCCCCACUUUGCCUGAGUGGCCUCCAGUGGUCAGACAGAACCCAAAGGAGAAGAGCCGGGGUGCAGAUUGGCAGAAGCUAUUCUGGCCCAUGAGCAGAGCAUCAAGAAUGUGGGCUGCAAAAGACAUUUAGAAAUUUUUACAAGAACUAAUGGACAGACAAGAACCUAAGUCUGAACAUCUAAAAGGCUUGCAAAGAAUCAAGCAAAUUUCUUGAAAGACACCAACACUUAUUAGACCUACCUUCGUCUACCUUCGUGAACUGAAGAUCAAGAAAAAUAUUCCAAGAGGCAUUUGGACAGAAAAGCAUGUUGACCCCACAGGAGCAGAAAUUGAACUGCAUUCAAUAUUUUCCUCUGCAAUGCCUAAUGGCGGGAGAAAUAACAUGGUACCAGAAGAGCUUCAAGGGAAAAAGACUACCCUCUAAGAAACCUGUAUUUAGGAAGUUGUUUAAGUGAAAGGGUAGUGGAAGAAAUGUUCUUAGAUGUGCAACUCACUGUUAUAACCCUCUCAACAAAGCCCUCGAAGACCUGAUUUAACUGGCAGUGAAUGAAUCUAAAUACAGAGCUGUGGGAUGUGAGAGUCACAUCAGUGACCAUUGAAACAAGUACAAAGAAAAUUAAAUCUAGAUGAUUGUUUUAUAUAUAAUUAUAAAACGGAAUAAAAGUGUAAAAUGCAACUCUUGGAAGAGGAUAUUUAUAGUAUAAAAAUGGCCUAAUUAUAAUAAUUUGAGCCUAAUGUUUUGCCAUACAAAAAUAGAAACGAAGGAGAUAGAAUGGUAGGAGAAAACACUUAUUUCCUCAUUGUUCCCAAGAGGGAUAUUAUUUAACUCUUGAUAAAGAUAACUGGAGAUACAAACAGGAUGUAUCCUUUCUAAAUUACU